CUUCGGGCGAGGCCCCGGCCCAAGUCCCUUGGAACAGGGCGUCGCAGAGGGUGAGAAUCCCGUACGCGGCCGAUGGCCAAGCCCCUGUGGAGCCCUUUCGACGAGUCGAGUUGUUUGGGAAUGCAGCUCUAAAUGGGUGGUAAAUUUCAUCUAAAGCUAAAUAUUUGCCGGAGACCGAUAGCGCACAAGUAGAGUGAUCGAAAGAUGAAAAGCACUUUGAAAAGAGAGUCAAACAGUACGUGAAAUUGUUGAAAGGGAAGCGCUUGCAACCAGACUCGUUCGCGGGUGCUCAGCCGUCCCUCGGGGCGGUGCACUCUCCCGCGUUUCGGGCCAGCAUCGGUUUUGGCGGCCGGAUAAAGUCCCCGGGAACGUAGCUCUCUUCGGGGAGUGUUAUAGCCUAGGGUGCAAUGCGGCCAGCCGGGACCGAGGACCGCGCGUUCGCUAGGAUGCUGGCGUAAUGGUUGUCAGCGACCCGUCUUGAAACACGGACCAAGGAGUCGACCAAUCUGGCGAGUUUUAGGGCAUGAAACCCUGGAGCGCAAUGAAAGUGAACGCAGGUGGGAGCCCCCGGGUGCACCAUCGACCGAUCCUGAUGUCUUCGGAUGGAUUUGAGUAUGAGCCCGGUUGGUCGGACCCGAAAGAUGGUGAACUAUGCGUGAAUAGGGUGAAGCCAGAGGAAACUCUGGUGGAGGCUCGCAGCGGUUCUGACGUGCAAAUCGAUCGUCAAAUUUGCGCAUAGGGGCGAAAGACUAAUCGAACUAUCUAGUAGCUGGUUCCCGUCGAAGUUUCCCUCAGUGAGUCGAACUCCGCUCCCAGGGUUUGCUUUUUCGUACAAUACUAAUUAAUUGAAAAGGGAUAGCAGCAACGAAAACAGUCUCAUGAGGUAGAGCAAACGAUUAGAGGUCUUGGGGUUGAAAUCGACCUUAACCUAUUCUCGAACUUCGAAUAUGUGAGAAGUCCUUGUUACUUAGUUGAACGUGGACAUUUGGAUGUAUCGUUGCUAGUGGGCC
rnacentral:rRNA from 1 species